CUCCAAUUACAAGUCAACGCCUUCAUCACCAAGAACAGAUUUCCCAAAUGGCCCUCUUAACACCAUAAAUCACAACCAGAUCAACUGAGAUGCAAAACCCAUGUUCACAUCAUGAGUGAGUCUUCUAACUCGGACAAUGCAAUCAACAAAUUCUAAGACCAAAUUCUGGCGGCACUGGCUCCACAGCUCCUGAGUGUGGAAGGAGGUGAACAGGGAAAAGCAGAGAGGACAAAAGUCACAUCCCC
rnacentral:lncRNA from 1 species